AUUGAACGCUGGCGGCAUGCYUWACACAUGCAAGUCGAACGGCAGCACGGGAGCAAUCCUGGUGGCGAGUGGCGAACGGGUGAGUAAUGCAUCGGAACGUAUCCUGGAGUGGGGGAUAACGCACCGAAAGGUGUGCUAAUACCGCAUAAGCCCCGAGGGGGAAAGCAGGGGAUCGCAAGACCUUGCGCUGAAGGAGCGGCCGAUGUCCGAUUAGCUAGUUGGUGAGGUAAAGGCUCACCAAGGCGACGAUCGGUAGCUGGUCUGAGAGGAUGAUCAGCCACACUGGGACUGAGACACGGCCCAGAC
rnacentral:rRNA from 1 species